rnacentral:tRNA from 1 species
GGUGGCUCAGUGGUAGAGUGCUUGCCUCAUGUGCAUGAGGCCCUAGGUUCGAUUCCUCGGCACCA